rnacentral:tRNA from 1 species
GGUAAAAUGGCUGAGUAAAAGCAUUGAACUGUAAAUUCAAAGACAGAGAAUAAUACCCUCUUUUUACCAAAUA